rnacentral:lncRNA from 1 species
AUGCUCCUCAGAAUGGGUCCCCGUUUGUUUCUGCACGACGUUAACUCUCCACAUCUGUGUCUUUCCUUGCUGUUAUUUGGAAAAUUUCUUCAGGGACUUUUACGUUUUCAGACAGGAGGAAGCAGAGGGGAGAAGAAUUCUUCACCAGGGGAGUUGAUGAGAAUGCUGGCAUUUCAGGCGUUGUGGUGGCUGGAAGCUUCUCUGGCAGAGGCACUGGAGUGUGAGGCCCGUCCAGCAGAGGAAUUCUGCUUGUCCUCACCUGACCUGCAGCAGGUGAGGGGCAGUGAAAAGGCGAAAGUGGAACACGAGAGGACGCUCCAGAGCCUCGUUUCUCUCAUAAGGACGACACUCAAGGGGCACCUGGGUGACUCAGUGGUUGAGCAUCUGGCUCAGGUUGUGAUCCCCCGGGGUCCUGGGAUGGAGUCCCCCAUCGGGCUCCCUGCAAGGAGUCCGCUUCUCCCUCUGCCUGUCUUUCAUGAAUAAAUAAACAGACAAACAAACAAACUUAAAAAAAAAAAAAAAAAAAGGAUGACACUCACUGGCUUGUGAAUUUGGAAAAUGAGGCCGGCAGGAGGAAAUAAAGCUGAAUCUGCUGGAGGCA